rnacentral:rRNA from 1 species
UAAUACGGGGGGGGCAAGCGUUGUUCGGAAUUACUGGGCGUAAAGGGCUCGUAGGCGGCCAACUAAGUCAGACGUGAAAUCCCUCGGCUUAACCGGGGAACUGCGUCUGAUACUGGAUGGCUUGAGUGUGGGAGAGGGAUGCGGAAUUCCAGGUGUAGCGGUGAAAUGCGUAGAUAUCUGGAGGAACACCGGUGGCGAAGGCGGCAUCCUGGACCACGACUGACGCUGAGGAGCGAAAGCCAGGGGAGCAAACGG